rnacentral:rRNA from 1 species
CGGAGGGUGCAAGCGUUAUCCGGAUUCACUGGGUUUAAAGGGUGCGUAGGAGGGUUGGUAAGUCAGUGGUGAAAUCUCCGAGCUUAACUUGGAACUGCCGUUGAUACUAUCAAUCUUGAAUAUCGUGGAGGUGAGCGGAAUAUGUCAUGUAGCGGUGAAAUGCUUAGAUAUGACAUAGAACACCAAUUGCGAAGGCAGCUCGCUACACGAAUAUUGACUCUGAGGCACGAAAGCGUGGGAUCAAACAGGAUU